CCUACGGGUGGCAGCAGUAGGGAAUCUUUCACAAUGGGCGAAAGCCUGAUGGAGCAACGCCGCGUGCAGGAUGAAGGCCUUCGGGUUGUAAACUGCUUUUAUAAGCGAGGAAUAUGAUGGUAACUUAUGAAUAAGGAUCGGCUAACUACGUGCCAGCAGCCGCGGUCAUACGUAGGAUCCGAGCAUUAUCCGGAGUGGAUGGGUGUAAAGAGUUGCGUAGGUGGCAUAAUAAGUAGCUAGUGAAAUCUGGUGGGUCAACCAUUCAGACUAUUAGCGAGAUUGUUAAGCUCGAGACCGUUAGAGGUAUCUGGAAUGUCUAGUGUAGCAGUGAAAUCCGUAGAUAUUAGAAGGAACACCAAUAGCGUAGGCAGGUUACUGGGACGGUUCUGACAUUAAGGCACGAAAGCGUAGGGAGCAAACGGGAUUAGAGACCCUUGUAGUC
rnacentral:rRNA from 1 species